rnacentral:rRNA from 1 species
CUUGGCGGCCAUAGCAAGUUGGACCCACCUGAUCCCAUCCCGAACUCAGCAGUGAAACGACUCCGCGCCGAUGAUAGUGUGCACUACGCAUGUGAAAGUAGGUCACCGCCAGGC